AUUGAACGCUGGCGGCAGGCCUAACACAUGCAAGUCGAGCGGUAACACAGGGAGCUUGCUCCUGGGUGACGAGCGGCGGACGGGUGAGUAAUGGCUGGGAAACUGCCUGAUGGAGGGGGAUAACUACUGGAAACGGUAGCUAAUACCGCAUAACGUCGCAAGACCAAAGAGGGGGAGCUUCGGUCCUCUGGCCAUCAGAUGUGACCAGAUUGGAUUAGCUAGUAGGUGGGGUACCGGCUCACCUAGGCGACGAUCCCGAGCUGGUCUGAGAGGAUGACCAGCCACACUGGGACUGAGACACAGUCCAGACUCCUGCGGGAGGCAGCAGUGGGGAAUAUUGCACAAUGGGCGAAAGCCUGAUGCAGCCAUGCCGCGUGUAUGAAGAAGGCCUUAGGGUUGUAAAGUACUUUCAGCGGGGAGGAAGGCGUUGAGGUUAAUAACCUCAGCGAUUGACGUUACCCGCAGAAGAAGCACCGGCUAACUCCGUGCCAGCAGCCGCCGUAA
rnacentral:rRNA from 1 species